rnacentral:rRNA from 1 species
AGAGUUUGAUCAUGGCUCAGCCUGAACGCUGGCGGCGUGGCUAAGACAUGCAAGUCGAACGGGUGUAGCAAUACACCAGUGGCGGACGGGUGAGUAAUGUAUCGCUAAUGUACCCCGGAGCCUGGGAUAGCUGCCCGAAAGGGCAGGUAAUACCAGAUGACACAACUGAGUCGCAUGGCUCGGUUUUCAAAGCAGCAAUGCACUCCGGGAGCAGGCGAUAUCGUAUCAGGUAGUUGGUGAGGUAACGGCUCACCAAGCCGACGACGCGUAGCUGGUCUGAGAGGACGGCCAGCCACAUCGGGACUGAGACACUGCCCGGACUCCUACGGGGGGCUGCAGUAACGAAUCUUCCGCAAUGCACGAAAGUGUGACGGAGCGACGCCGCGUGGAGGACGAAGUUCUUCGGAAUGUAAAUUCCUGUCAGGGGUAAGAAAGUUCUGAUCUACCCCAGAGGAAGGCACGGCUAACUCUGUGCCAGCAGCCGCGGUAAGACAGAGGUGCCGAGCGUUAGGCGGAAUCACUGGGCUUAAAGCGUGUGUAGGCGGGUCCGUAAGUACCUUGUGAAAUCCCACGGCUCAACCGUGGAACUGCUUGGUAUACUGCGGGUCUUGAGCCACCUAGGGGCAAGCGGAACAAACGGUGGAGCGGUGAAAUGCGUAGAUAUCGUUUGGAACGCCAAUGGUGAAAACAGCUUGCUGGGGGUGUGCUGACGCUGAGACACGAAAGCCAGGGGAGCAAACGGGAUUAGAUACCCUAGUAGUCC